rnacentral:rRNA from 1 species
CAACGCUGGCGGCGUGCCUAAUACAUGCAAGUCGAGCGAACAGAGAAGGAGCUUGCUCCUUCGACGUUAGCGGCGGACGGGUGAGUAACACGUGGGCAACCUACCUUAUAGUUUGGGAUAACUCCGGGAAACCGGGGCUAAUACCGAAUAAUCUGUUUCACCUCAUGGUGAAACACUGAAAGACGGUUUCGGCUGUCGCUAUAGGAUGGGCCCGCGGCGCAUUAGCUAGUUGGUGAGGUAACGGCUCACCAAGGCGACGAUGCGUAGCCGACCUGAGAGGGUGAUCGGCCACACUGGGACUGAGACACGGCCCAGACUCCUACGGGA